rnacentral:rRNA from 1 species
CAGUCGCCACGGGAAUACGAAGGGGGCUAGCGUUGUUCGGAUUUACUGGGCGUAAAGGGCGCGUAGGCAGGCUGAUAAGUCAGGGGUGAAAUCCCAAGGCUCAACCUUGGAACUGCCUUUGAUACUGUUUGUCUUGAGUUCGAGAGAGGUAAGUGGAACUGCGAGUGUAGAGGUGAAAUUCGUAGAUAUUCGCAAGAACACCAGUGGCGAAGGCGGCUUACUGGCUCGAAACUGACGCUGAGGCGCGAAAGCGUGGGGAGCAAACAGGAUUAGAUACCCCUGUAGUCCCUGUCUCUUAUAC